AACGAACGCUGGCGGCAGGCCUAACACAUGCAAGUCGAGCGAGAUCUUCGGGUCUAGCGGCGGACGGGUGAGUAACGCGUGGGAAUAUGCCUCUUGGUACGGAAUAGCCUCGGGAAACUGGGAGUAAUACCGUAUGUGCCCUUUGGGGGAAAGAUUUAUCGCCAAGAGAUUAGCCCGCGUUGGAUUAGGUAGUUGGUGGGGUAAUGGCCUACCAAGCCGACGAUCCAUAGCUGGUUUGAGAGGAUGAUCAGCCACACUGGGACUGAGACACGGCCCAGACUCCUACGGGAGGCAGCAGUGGGGAAUCUUAGACAAUGGGGGCAACCCUGAUCUAGCCAUGCCGCGUGAGUGAUGAAGGCCUUAGGGUUGUAAAGCUCUUUCGGCUGGGAAGAUAAUGACGGUACCAGCAGAAGAAGCCCCGGCUAACUCCGUG
rnacentral:rRNA from 1 species